UACGUAGGUGGCAAGCGUUGUCCGGAUUUACUGGGCGUAAAGAGCGCGCAGGCGGUCGUUCAAGUCGCGUGUGAAAGCCCCCGGCUCAACUGGGGAGGGUCACGCGAUACUGAUCGACUGGAAGGCAGGAGAGGGUAGUGGAAUUCCCGGUGUAGUGGUGAAAUGCGUAGAGAUGUGGAGGAACACCAGUGGCGAAGGCGACUCUUUGGCCUGUAACUGACACUGAGGCGCGAAAGCGUGGGGAGCAAACAGG
rnacentral:rRNA from 1 species